AUUAAAUGUAGAUUCAUCAACCUGUCAGUGGCAUAGUUUCAAUAUAGUAUGAUUGUGACAAGAAUAUAAAGUUAGAGAGCUAUCUCUAAUGAUACACAACAGAUUGUAUCUUAAGAAUUAGCUGCAUUCAAUCAAGGCAGCACAUUGGCCUUCGCUUCAACUGUACACACUUAUGCUAGUUGUUAAAUCAUAAAAGAUUAACUGUCAAUCAAUAUAUCAGGCCCUCUUUCUAAAUGCCCCCAUAAACCCUAAUUG
rnacentral:misc_RNA from 1 species